UACGUAGGGCGCGAGCGUUGUCCGGAAUUAUUGGGCGUAAAGAGCUCGUAGGCGGCCGGUUGCGUCUGCUGUGAAAUCCCGGGGCUUAACCCCGGGCGUGCAGUGGAUACGGGCCGGCUGGAGGCAGGCAGGGGAGAAUGGAAUUCCCGGUGUAGCGGUGAAAUGCGCAGAUAUCGGGAGGAACACCCGUGGCGAAGGCGGCUCUCUGGGACGGUACUGACGCUGAGACGCGAAAGCGUGGGGAGCGAACAGG
rnacentral:rRNA from 1 species